rnacentral:sRNA from 13 species
GCCGGGUGUGGUGGCGUGCACCUGUAGUCCCAGCUACUCAGGAGGCUGAGGCAGGAGAAUUGCUUGAACCUGGGAGGUAGAGGUUGCAGUGAGCUGACACUGAGCCACUGCACUCCAGCCUAGGUGACACAGUGAGACUCUGCCUCAA